GUAGUCAUAUGCUUGUCUCAAAGAUUAAGCCAUGCAUGUCUAAGUAUAAGCAACUUGUACAGUAAAACUGCGAAUGGCUCAUUAAAUCAGUUAUCGUUUAUUUGAUAAUCCCUUACUACAUGGAUACCUGUGGUAAUUCUAGAGCUAAUACAUGCUUCAAGGAGUGGCUUUCGUCACUCUGCACUUAUUAGAUAAAAAACCAAUGCCCCUUUGGGGCUCCCUGGUGAUUCAUAAUAAUUUAGCGGACCGCAUUCCCUCGAGGAGGCGGUGGAUCAUUCAAAUUUCUGCCCUAUCAACUUUCGAUGGUAGGAUAGUGGCCUACCAUGGUGGCAACGGGUAACGGGGAAU
rnacentral:rRNA from 1 species